rnacentral:rRNA from 1 species
CGCGUAGGUGGUAGUGAAAGUCUAUGGUGGAACCUUAGGGCUUAACCCUAAAACUGCCUUGGAAACUUCAUUACUUGAGUCAGUGAGGGGAGGGUAGAAUUCCUGGUGUAGCGGUGAAAUGCGUAGAUAUCAGGAGGAAGGCCGGUGGCGAAGGCGGCCCUCUGGCGCUGAACUGACGCUGAGGCGCGAAAGCGUGGGUAGCAAACAGGAUUAGAUACCCUGGUAGUCCACGCCCUAAACGGUGGGUACUAGGUGUAGGGCUCGUAAGGGUUCUGUGCCGAAGGGAAACUAUUAAGUACCCCGCCUGGGGAGUACGGCCGCAAGGUUGAA